CCUACGGGAGACUGCAGUGAGGAAUAUUGGUCAAUGGGCGCAAGCCUGAACCAGCCAAGUCGCGUGAGGGAAGACGGCCCUACGGGUUGUAAACCUCUUUUGCCGGGGAGCAAGCCUUAGCACGUGUGCCCCGUCGUAGAGUCCCCGGAGACAAAGCAUCGGCUAACUCCGUGCCAGCAGCCGCGGUAAUACGGAGGAUUCGAGCGUUAUCCGGAUUUAUUGGGUUUAAGGGGUGCGCAGGCGGUCUGUAAAGUCAGCGGUCAAAGCCCGGGGCUCAACCCCGGCCCGCCGUUGAAACUGGCAGGCUCGAGUGGGAGAGAAGUAGGCGGAAUGCGCGGUGUAGCGGUGAAAUGCAUAGAUAUCGCGCAGAACUCCGAUUGCGAAGGCAGCAUGCCGGAUCCACACUGACGCUGAGGCACGAAAGCGUGGGUAUCGAACAGGAUUAGAUACCCUGGUAGUC
rnacentral:rRNA from 1 species